CCAUACGACCGUACCGCAAACCGACACUGGUGCGCGAGAUGAGUAUUCUAAGGCGCUUGAGAGAACUCAGGAGAAGGAACUCGGCAAAUUGACACCGUAACUUCGGAAGAAGGUGUGCCCUAUUAGUGUGUAGUGAACAACGAAGCAUGAAUGGGUUGCAAAAAAUCGGUGGCUGCGACUGUUUAUUAAAAACACAGCACUCUGCAAACACGAAAGUGGACGUAUAGGGUGUGACGCCUGCCCGGUGCUGGAAGAUUAAAUGAUGGGGUGCAAGCUCUUGAUUGAAGUCCCAGUAAACGGCGGCCGUAACAAUAACGGUCCUAAGGUAGCGAAAUUCCUUGUCGGGUAAGUUCCGACCUGCACGAAUGGCGUAACGAUGGCCACACUGUCUCCUCCUGAGACUCAGCGAAGUUGAAAUGUUUGUGAUGAUGCAAUCUCCCCGCGGAAAGACGGAAAGACCCCAUGAACCUUUACUGUAGCUUUGUAUUGGACUUUGAACAGAUCUGUGUAGGAUAGGUGGGAGGCUUUGAAGCAGGGUCGCUAGAUCUUGUGGAGCCAACGUUGAAAUACCACCCUGGUGUGUUUGAGGUUCUAACCUAGGUCCAUUAUCUGGAUCGGGGACAGUGCAUGGUAGGCAGUUUGACUGGGGCGGUCUCCUCCCAAAGCGUAACGGAGGAGUUCGAAGGUACGCUAGUUACGGUCGGACAUCGUGACGAUAGUGCAAUGGCAUAAGCGUGCUUAACUGCGAGACUGACAAGUCGAGCAGAUGCGAAAGCAGGACAUAGUGAUCCGGUGGUUCUGUAUGGAAGGGCCAUCGCUCAACGGAUAAAAGGUACUCUGGGGAUAACAGGCUGAUACCGCCCAAGAGUUCAUAUCGACGGCGGUGUUUGGCACCUCGAUGUCGGCUCAUCUCAUCCUGGGGCUGUAGCCGGUCCCAAGGGUAUGGCUGUUCGCCAUUUAAAGAGGUACGUGAGCUGGGUUUAAAACGUCGUGAGACAGUUUGGUCCCUAUCUUCCGUGGGCGCUGCAGAUUUGAGGAAGCCUGCUCCUAGUACGAGAGGACCGGAGUGGACACACCUCUGGUGUAUCGGUUGUCACGCCAGUGGCAUUGCCGAGUAGCUAAGUGUGGAAGAGAUAACCGCUGAAAGCAUCUAAGCGGGAAACUCGUUUCAAGAUGAGAUCUGCCGGGGCCUUGAGCCCCCUAAAGAGUCGUUCAAGACCAGGACGUUGAUAGGUCAGGUGUGGAAGCGAU
rnacentral:rRNA from 1 species